AACGAACGCUGGCGGCAUGCCUAACACAUGCAAGUCGAACGAGACCUUCGGGUCUAGUGGCGCACGGGUGCGUAACGCGUGGGAACCUGCCCUUAGGUUCGGAAUAACUCCCCGAAAGGGGUGCUAAUACCGGAUAAUGUCUUCGGACCAAAGAUUUAUCGCCUUUGGAUGGGCCCGCGUUGGAUUAGCUAGUUGGUAGUGUAAAAGCCUACCAAGGCGACGUUCCAUAGCUGGUCUGAGAGGAUGAUCAGCCACACUGGGACUGAGACACGGCCCAGACUCCUACGGGAGGCAGCAGUGGGGAAUAUUGGACAAUGGGCGAAAGCCUGAUCCAGCAAUGCCGCGUGAGUGAUGAAGGCGUUAGGGUUGUAAAGCUCUUUUACCCGGGAUGAUAAUGACAGUACCGGGAGAAUAAGCUCCGGCUAACUCCGUG
rnacentral:rRNA from 1 species